UACGAAGGUGGCAAGCGUUGUUCGGAAUUACUGGGCGUAAAGGGCGCGUAGGCGGCCCGCUAAGUCGAACGUGAAAUCCCCGAGCUCAACUCGGGAACUGCGUCCGAUACUGGCGGGCUUGAAUCCGGGAGAGGGAUGCGGAAUUCCAGGUGUAGCGGUGAAAUGCGUAGAUAUCUGGAGGAACACCGGUGGCGAAGGCGGCAUCCUGGACCGGCAUUGACGCUGAGGCGCGAAAGCUAGGGGAGCAAACGGG
rnacentral:rRNA from 1 species